CAGAGGUUGUGGUGAGCUGAGAUUAUGCCAUUGCACUCCAGCCUGGGUAACGAGCGAAACUCCAUCUCAAAAAAGUCUCUGCUCCUCCUGUUCGGCAGACAGCCGCAUAUUCUCUUGCAUUGGCAGCGCAUCCCUGUGACACCAUGGGGAAGGUGAAGGUCGGAGUCAAUGGAUUUGGUUGUACUGGGUGCCUGCCUGGUGUACCAGGACUGCUUGUAAGUCUGGUAAAGUGGAUAUUGUUGCCAUCAAUGACCCCUUCAUUGACCUCAACUACAUGGUCUACAUAUUCCUGUAUGAUUGUACACAUGGCAAAUUCCAUGGCACUGUCAAGGCUGAGAACGGGACUCUUGUCAUCAAUAGAAAUCCCAUCAUCUUCCAGGAGUGAGAUCCCUCCAAAAUCACAUGGGGCAAUGCUGGUGCUGAGUACAUCGUGGAGUCCACUGGUGUCUUCACCAGCAUGGAGAAGGCUGGGGCUCACUUGCAGCGGGGAGCCAAAAGGGUCAACAUCUCUGUCCCCUCUGUUGAUGCCCCCAUGUUUGUGAUGUGCACGAACCAUGACAAGUAUGACAACAGCCUCAAGAUCGUCAGCAAUGCCUCCUGCAUCACCAACUGCUUAGCGCCCCUGGCCAAGGUCAUCCAUAACAACUUUGGUAUCAUAGAAGGAUUCAUGACCACAGUCCACGCCAUCACUGCCACCCAGAAGACUGUAAAUGGCCCCUCUGGGAAACUGUCGCGUGACGGCUGCAGGGCUCUCCAGGACAUCAUCCCUGUCUCUACUGGCACUGCCAAGGUUGUGGGUAAGGUCAUCCCUGAGGUGAACGGGAAGCUCACUGGCAUGGCCUUCCAUGUCCCCAUUGCCAAUGUGUCAGUGGUGGACCUGACCUGUUGUCUGGAAAAACCUGCCAAUAUGAUGACAUCAAGAAGGUGGUGAAGUAGGCAUCAGAGGGCCCCCUCAAGGGCAUCCUGGGCUACAAUGAGCACCAGGUGGUCUCCUCCAACUUCAACAGCGACACCCACUCUUCUACCUUUGAUGCUGGGGCUGCCAUUGCCCUCAACGACCGCUCUGUCAAGCUAAUUUCCUGGUAUGACAAUGAAUUUGGCUAUAGCAACAGGGUGGUGCACCUCAUGGCCCACAUUGCCUCCAAGGAGUAAGAACCCUGGACCACCAGCCCAGCAAGAGCACGAGAGGAAGAGAGAGGCACUCACUGCUGGGGAGUCCCUGCCACAAUCAGUCCCCUACCAGACUGAAUCUCCCCUCCUCACAGUUUCCAUGCAGACCCCUUGGAGAGGGAGGGGCCUAGGGAGCCCUACCUUGUCAUGUACCAUCAAUAAAGUCCCCUGUGCUCAGCAAAAAAAAAAACAAACAAACAACAACAAAACAAGAAACAAAACAAUAAAAAA